CUUUUCAAGCUUUGAAGUUCAUCAAAGUUAUCUGAAGAGCCAGUUUAAAAUUUAGUUGCCUUAACUUCACCCUUAUAAAUUCUGCUUUAAUAUGUCUAGAGUGAGUCCUAGGUCUCCUAGGUAAUUCUAAUGUACCCUGAAGUCUUAAACUUCAGUUCCUAAGAGUUUGUUAGGAAAUUCUUUUUCAGGGACCUGGAGUAGCAGUUCCCAAUACUGACUGAUUUGAUAUGGCUGGAUCCCUUAAUAUGAUUGAAAACAAUAUUGCUCAUUGAUUAAAAAUAAACUAAUUUUUUCAAUUUGUUAUAGGGUUGGCAUGGGGAGAGGAAGUUCAGAUGGGGAGACCUGGAGAUUUUCUGAGAAGGGUGAAGAAGAGUGCUCACCAGAUUCCCUUCUGGUCUGGAAAAAGAAAUCCCUUCUUUUGUGGAUGUCAUGUCUACCAUCUCUCGGUGAAAAAUAUUUCAAGAGAAUCCUAAGAUGGAGAGAGCAUUGGAAGUCAUCCGGCCCAAUUCCCUCAUGCAAUUCAAAGCUUCUUUGUAAGGUAGGGCACCAUUUACUUUUAUAAGGCCAACUUUGCGGAGUUUACUACUUUAUAAAGCAAGCUAUCGAAUAUUUACAGCUACAAUUGUGAAGAAAUACUUGAUAAAACUCUUUGAAUGACCAGUUUUGCCUAGUAAAACCUUAAAAUUACUUUUUAGUUAUCUCAUUUAUUAAAUUGUUCCUUUGUUCGUUCACUCAAAAAUAUUAAUUAAGCCAGGCUUGGUCUUAUUUAGCUUUGAAAUUACAGUGCUGGAUGGUUGUGAAUGCAUACUUUAUUC
rnacentral:lncRNA from 1 species